ensembl:lncRNA
AGGUAUGAGGUUCUUCCUGAGCAUUUCUUGAAGAGGAGGUUUUGUGGCGAUGAACUCCCUUAACUUUUGUUUAUCUUGGUUCUUCCUGCCUUGUGAUUGCCAGUCGGGAUCUCUCCACUAGUGCUGUGCCCAGGCUUUCGCUGAGGCUGCUGUAGGAACCUGGAGUUCCCACCUGGGCAUUGUAGCUGUUUCACCAGAGCUCGACUCUGCCCCACACCACUCUCACAGGAUCUCUGGGAGCCCCUUGCCUCGUCUGGGACAUGGGCAGAGUCCGUGGGCCUGGCAGUGGCUGGCCACCCCCGGGGCGUCUUGAGAUGACAAGCGAUGGAAGCAUCCCUUAGAAGACAGCCUCGCCGGGGAGCUGCGGGAGACAGGCGGCACAAGCUGCACCCAGGAGCCGAGGGCCCUGGGACAGCAGAGCAGGCCAGGUGAGCGUGUCCCCUUGAGACCCAUGGCCCUCCCUGGCCUCACCUCCACUUCACCAAAUUCUCCUGCUGUCCCUCACCCCAGGCCUUUUGCCACCCCUGUCCCCAUGGCUCCCCUCCCAGCUCAGCCUCAAACUUCCUACAGCCCUGAGGCACAUCAGCGACUGGGAGGAAGAACUCCAGGAGAGAAGGGCAAGAUUUCCUACCUUUGCGAAAGCGACAUCUGGCCCCGCACUUCUGCCAGGUCCUUCCAGCCAGCUCUGUAAGCUAGAAAUCAGGAGACUAGGUCACAGCGCUGAAGGUGGGGGCCUAGGGCUCUUAGAGGAAGCUGCGUGCAAUGUGCCUUAGGGGAGACUGUUUGAGGUCAGACUCUGGAGCCCAGGCACUAGCGCCCAAGGCCACAGGAUCCCUGAUGCGGAUGGCAUGGCUCCUGAUGGGUUGUUUGUCAUUGACCAAGUGCUUCAACCUCCACCACAGCCUACAUGCCCCUGCUGGGCAACACCCAUUUCCAGAUGCCUGCUGGCCUGGGCCUUAGUUCCCAGCACAGAAUCUGGCAAGUACUCAGUUUUUCAUCUCCUUCCCGGGUGCCUCCCUGAGGGCUCUGUUUCCUGAGGGACAGGCUCUGUCCCUGGCAUCCUCCAGCCCAUGGAGCUGGGCGCUCAGGGACAGGAGAUGGAGGCCAGCUCUGGAGCUCAGGGCUGAAUGGCAGAAGCUUACCUUUCAAAGCUCCCCUUUUCUUCCUGCUCCUGCUGCUCCUCCCUCUUGGCUCCACUUGAUGCUGAGAGGAGAGAUAAAAUAAGAAACUUUGGAGUCUGAGACCAAGGCUCCCUCUCCUCUCUCUGGACCCGCUGCAGACACCCAGCAUUUGUGAGCAAGAUGACUGUCUACAUUGAACUCCUCAGGCUCUUGGGUGUUUCUUCCCUUUUACUUACUUUUGAAGUGGAGAAUUGAACACCAAAUGGAUAUUUGCUGUUUUCCUUCUUUGAGGAUCAUAAGAAGGUCCCCAUGUGGGACCCAGCAGGUAUUUUCUGUCACUGUUUCUCUGCUCAAGAAAUGCGCACAUUCUCAGAUGUAUAGAAUCUUAUGAGCUUCCUCAGGGAGGACUUUGCUUCCUGAGGCCAGAGCCCCACUCCAGGUCCUGCUCAGAGCCUGUAGGGGGCUCAGCUCAGCCCUCAGAUCAGCCACGACAGAGGAAAGGCCUGGUCAAGACACCUGCCCCAGGAAGGCAGCUGGGGAACCAGUGUUCAGGGCCUGUCCUCCCACAGAUCCUACUCAGCAUCCCGUCCUUGGCCACUGGUCACUGGCCUGGGGACUUUCCCUGGAGCCCUCUGCCACACCAGGACUCCCGCUCUGAGAUCUUCCAAUGGAAAUCCUUGUGCUCACUCUCACCCCUGCCCACCUAACCUCGCUUGUCCCUAGAAGGAUGAUAUUCUAUUGUUUCCCAUCCCCAGAGUCCCUCUAGUUGAUUCAGAGAAGUGGAAAUCACAGUAAAAAUGAAGGGAGACGCAUCUUCUGGUGGGUCUCGGUCCAGGAUUUCUUACCUUCCUGACGUUUCUCCUUUUGUAAGGUGGUUGUAAGGGCAAAUUCCUCUGGAGGGAGGGAAGGAACAGGAGGAAGAGCCCCAGUCCAUACAGGAUGCGGAGGAUGGUCCCAAUCACCCAGGAAGCAGAACUGGAGCUCAGCCAGGUAACAACAAUGCUUUUUAUAUAUAAGAUAGGAGUUUCCAUAUCUCAAUACAGUUCUACUCUCAGGCAACUGAGCACUGGGAGUGACUUGGAGAUUAGAACCCCACGCCCUCAUCAUGGAACUGUGGCCGUGUCACAAGGGCUCCUGAGGAGGCGAGGGGACAGCAGGGAAGCAGAUUGGACCACAGCCCCUCCCCCACCAACUGGCCUACAACUGCCUCCCUCCACCCUCCUGGGCCUUCUAGACCUUGGGUAGUUUUCUAUUCCUUCCACCUGGAGGCCAGAUGUCACCCGGUUCCUUGUGUCUCCUGGAUUCUUGGUUUCAACCCACCUAUGUCAUGGCCUUUGAAGGUCUGAAGUUCUCCUGGAAAUUUAGGCUGGUUCCCAGGGAUUCACGUCCUGAUUCGCCUCUGUCCUAACCUCCGAUAUUUUUUCACCUCACAUAUUGACUUUGUGUGUGUGAGAACAUUGAAGUGCUUCUCUCUUAGCUGAUUUCAAUUGUACAAUCCCGUGUUCUCGACUCUAGACACUACGUCAGACGUUAGAUCCUCAGAAGCUCUUGACAUUAGAGUUGAAAGUUUGUCCCCUUUUACCUGCUUCUCCCUUUUUCCCCCCACCCCAUAGCCCCUGGCAACCACCUUUCUACUUUCUGUUUAUGUAAGUUGACCUUUUUUUUUUUAGAUUUCACAUAUAAGUGAUAUCAUGCAGUGUUGUCUUCUCUCUCUGGUUUAUUUCAUUGAGAAUAAUGCCCUUCAGCUUCAUCCAUGUUGUGCAAAUGUCUGCUUCAUUUUUCCACAUAAUAACUUUUCUUUUUCUAAGGGAUAUUGGCCCUGUGCUAACUUCCACUGCCAAUCUUCCUCCUUUUGCUUUAGGAAGAUUGUCACUGAACUAAUAUCUGUGCCAAUCUUUCUCUAUUUUAUGUAGGAUGCUGCCACAGUGUGGCUUGAUAAGCAGUGCUAGGUCCACACCUGGGAUCUGAACCUGUGAACCCUCGGCCACUAAAGUGGAGCAUGCAAACUUAAAUAGUCUGCCAAUAGGCCGUCCCCCAUAAUAAGUUUUCUACUUUCAUCUAUCCAGAAGUAGAACUUUAUUUUAUACUUAUUUAAUUUUGAAUAUUUAAGUUUUUAUUGUUUCCAUCAAUCUUUGUCAUUUUCACUCAGAACGAGUGACACAAAAAUUCAAACUAACCAUUUACUAUUAUUUAAAAUAAUUACAAUGAAAAUAUAAUUAAAUCUCCAAAUAAUGUGUUUUAUAUUAGUAGCAUUUACAUUUGUGAAGUUAGAACAGCUUCACAAAGGCAUAAUUAUGGGACAUACUCUAUGCACACACACACGUACUUCCACAUACAUAGACACAUUUUCACAGACCAGUACUUUCAAACUCAAGAAUUUAGUAUUUUCUCAUUUUCUUGAAAUUCUUCAUACAUUGUCUUGACCCCAAGUAAAUGAAUUUUAAUGUCAAAAAUAAGCUCAUGCAAAAAUUAAAAUUUGGUUUUCUCUCUCGUAAAUGGAUAAUUUUCCUGGAGUGUUAGUCUGCUCUUGAUAAAGAGGUUAUACAAGGUUUUUCUUUAACUUUGGUAAGUUUACCAUUAGGACAGAAUAUCUAUGUCUGUUAAAAUAGUUUUCUAUGUUCAAAAGGACUGAGGUUUCUCUAUUAAGGGAACAAACAUCAUACUCAGUGAGGAAACACUAAAAGCCAUCAAUCUGAGAACAAGAACAAGACAAGGGUGUCCACUCUCACCACUUUUAUUCAACACAACACUGGAAGUUUUGGUCAAAGCAAUUAGGCAAGAAAAAGAAGUAAAUGGCAUCCAAGUGGCAUCUAAGGAGUGAAAUUCUCACUACUUGCAGAUGACAUGAUUUUAUGUAUAGAAAAUCUGAAAGAAUCUAUUGGAAAAAUAUUAGAAAUAAUCAACAACUACACAAAGUUGGAAGGUACAACAUCGAGUUACAAAAAUCAAUUGUGUUUCUAUACUUCAUAACAAAUCUAAAGAAAGAGAACUCAAGAAUACAAUCCCACUUACAAUCUCAACAAAAAGAUUAAAAUAUCUAUGAAUAAAUGUAAGCCAGGAUGUGAAAUACCUAUGCAAUGAAAAUUGUAAGACAUUAUUUUAAAAAAUCACUGGUGACACAAAGAAAUUGAAUGAUAUUCUAUAAACAUGGAUUGGAAGAAUAAACAAAGUUUAAAUGUCCAUACUACUUAAAGUAAUCUAAGGAUUCAUCACAAUCUCAAUGACAUUCUUCAUGGAAAUAGAACAAAGAAUCCUAAAAUUCAUAGGGGACAACAAAGGACUCUGAAUAGCUAAAGUAAUCUUGAGAAUAAAGAACAAAUGUAGAGGCAUCACAAUCUCUGACUAGUAUACUAGAAAACUAUAGUAAUCAAAACAGCAUGGUACUGGUACAAAAGCAUACACAUGGAUCACUGCAACAGAACUGAAAGGCCAGAAAUAAAACCACACAUCUACAGACAGCUAAUCUUUGACAAAGGAGCUAAGAAAAUACAAUGGAUAAAGGAAAGUGUCUUCAAUAAAUAGUGUUGGGAAAACUGGACAGCCACAUGCAAAGGAAUGAACGUAGACCGUUAUCUCUCACCAUACACAGAAAUUAACUCAAAAUGCAUUAAAAAUUUGAAAGUGAGAUGUGAAACUAUAAAUCUCAGAAGAAAAUACAGGUAGUACGCACUUUGACAUCAGUUUUAGAAGUAUCUUUUUGAAUACCAUGUCUACUCAGGCAAGGAAACAAAAGUAAAAAUAAACAAAUGGGACUUCAUCAGACUAAAGUACUUCUGCAAGGCAUAAGAAACCAGAAACAAAACAAAAAGACAACCUACCAACUAGGAGGAGAUAUUUGCAAAUCAUAUAUUGACAAGAAGUUAAUAUAUAUAUAUAUAAUAUAUGGAUAUAUAAUAUAUAUAAUGUAUAAGUUUAUAUAUACAUAAAAUAUAUGAGGAACUCAUACAACUCAACAAUAACAAAACAAACAACCCAAUAAAAGAAUGGGCAGAGGAUAUGAACAGACAUUUUUCCAAGGAAGAUAUACAGAUAGCAAGGCCACAUGGAAAGUUAUUCAAUAUCAGCAAUUACUAAAGAAAUGCAAAUCAAAACUACCAUGAGAUAUCACCUUACACCUGUUAGAUUGGCUGUAAUUACCAAGACAAAAAAUGUCAAAUGUUGGAGAGGAUAUGGAGAAAAGCAACCUUCAUACACUGCUGGUGGGAAUGCAAACUGGUGCAGCCACUAUGGAAAACAGUAUGGAGAUUUUGCAAAAAAUUAAAACUUGAAAUACCUUAUGACCCAGUUAUCCCAUUACUUGGUAUUUAUCCAAAGAACUGGAAAUCAAUAAUCCAAAGAGACUUAUGCACCCCUGUGUUCAUUGAAGCAUUAUUCACAAUAGCCAAGAUGUGGAAGCAACCCAGGUUCCCAUCAACUGAUGAAUGAAUAAAAAAGAUAUGGGGUACAUACAUAUAUACAAUGGAAUACUACUCAGCCAUAAAAAUAAGACAAAAUCAUCCCAUUUGUAACUACAUGGAUGGACUUUGAGGGUUAAGUGAAUUAAUCCAGACAGAAAGACAAACACCAUAUGACUUCACUCAUAUGUGGAAGGUAAUCAAACACAUGGACAAAGAUAACAGAUUAGCAGUUACCAGAGGGGAAAGGGUUUGCUGAUUGGCCAAUGGGGUAAAGGAGCACAUAUAUAUGGUGAUAGACAAAUAAUAAUGUACAACUGAAAUAUCACAAUGUUAUAAACUAUUAUGAUCUCAACAAAAUAGUAAAAAAACACUGCAAUUGAAAACACAUUGCAAUGGCUCAAAUUAAAAAGACUAACAAUACCAGUGUUUUCAGGGUUUUGAAGAACUGGAACUCUCAAUUCUGAACUGAAAAUUGCCAAUAGGGUGUAAGUUGGCAUAAAAAACUUGGAAAAAAUUUUUGUAAUAUCUAGUACAGCUCGACAUUCUUAUAAUUUAUGAACCAAUAAUUCCACUGUGGUCUACUUACCAAGCAGAAACAUCAGCUCAUUCCAUGAAAUGACAAUUAUGGAAAUGUUUACAGCAGUUUAAUUCACAGUAGACCCGAACUGAAAACAAUCCAAAUGCUCAUCACAAGCAGAAUUAAUAAAUACAUGCAGUCUAUCAAUAGAAUGAAAUAUAAUAUAGAAUAGGAAUGUAUAAGGAACAAAUACAAAAAUAUGGAAGAGCUGGAGUAAUUAAAUCUCUAUGACUGCAUUUACCUGUGACAAUUUAUCCCUUUAAAAGAAGAAAACAUUGCUGAUAGAGUAAUUGACAGAAUCUUAGCAAUUAUGUUCCUUUUUUUCAUCCUAACAGUAAGUGAGGAGAAAAGUAAACAGUUUUACAAAAGUUAUUCUGAAACUCAAAAUUUACAUGUAAAAUACCAAACACAUGAUAAAUAUAAAUCAAUUCAAAUGCCUUCCUGGCAUAAUGAAAAAUAAUUCUGAAACAAAUUAAACUCACCUCCUUAGUAGAGAGUCCUCAUCCAUGAGGCGUGUAGAUGGUACUUUCUGACAAUUUGACUACAAAUGUUUGCUUACAUCAGUGUUGAGUGUACUUCUUUCUGCUCCUGGCCUCAUGUCAUUUUUAUUUAGAAGUCCUAUGAGACCACUUAAAGUUUCCUACAGCUACAAAAUAUCUUUCCCAGCGCAAUGACACUUUCAAUGGCAAAUCACCUUUGGCAAAGGAACACAGAUUUAAGUAUUUCUUAAAGAGUAAAUGGGGCAAUUAAUUUAUUUACCUCCUAGGUUUUGCUAAAAGCAAAAGAACCCUGAAUGGGAAGGUGAAGAGAUGUGUCACUGUUAAGGAUAACAGCAAUGCACACACUUAUUGGAGGUAAUAUCUGGAAUUCCACUUCUUGAACUGUACAAAUGUGACUUAAUUGCCUGAAAUAGACAGAUUAUCGUUUUUUCUUAGUGUAAUAAUAAUAAUAAUAGAUUUUAUUUAUUAAGCAUUUCUACAUGCUAGCAAGUAUGCUCAGCAUUCUAAAUAAACUUACAUGCAUUAUAUUUAAUCUUCAAAACAGCCCAUCCAUCUACCAAUUUUUAUGAUCUACAAGAAUGUAAACAAUGUUUUUGUUUUAAAGGAACAUUUUUAUCCUGUGGUAGCACAGUGUAAGAAUGUACAUCUAAAUCACCUUAGAUUUAAGGUUCUCAAACUUUAGGGAACAUCUGAAUCACUCAAAGGGCUUGCUAAUUACACUUUGAAAAACACUUCUUUAAAUGAAUCAUCUGAAGGUGAACUUUUACUGCAUCAAGAACUGGGUAUCAAUGCUUUGAUAGCCUAUAAACUCUUGAAGUCUCAAUUUUGUUUGUGUAUAUUUUAAUCCUGUUUGUAUUCCUCACCCAUUUUGUGAUCUUGUAUCACAAUUAUAAAUAAGCUUCAUGUUCCUCUUCUAUCAUAUGUGAGUAAUAACAUUAUUCACUUUGUAGCAUUACUGGAAGGAUUAAGUGAAAUAUUUGUAAAGUAUCUGGAAGAGUAUCUGGCCCAUUGUAAAUGCUGUAUAAAUGCUCACUGUUAUUGUAGGGGAAUAAGACAAUUCCUCUACCCUCUAGGUCCUUCUGGCUGGUCUGAGAUUUAAAGUGACAUGAGACAGAAUGACAGGAGAAACUCAAAACUUUAUAAUGUGUAUGCACGGAAGAAACCCAGGAAAAUUGAGUGGCUCAAGCAGAAUGGCUGAAGCUGUCAACUUAAAUAUCAUCUUCAGCUAAAGACAAAGGAAGAAAUUGGGGAUAGUGUUUUGGGGCUUCAAAGGGGAGGAAGACAAUUCACUUGGAAAUGGAAAAGCAAGCACUCAGUAGAUAAAACUUUGAUAAGGAUGGGUUUAGCAAGGACCCUCACGGUCUAUGGAUACUGAGAAUUAUCUAUAGUGAUGGCUUGUCCUGCGAACAGGUCUUCUAACUUAAAUUCUUUUAGGCACUUAAGGGAAUUGUUAAACAUUCUUUCAGAGUCUUUAGCUUAAAAAUUAAGCCAGUUAGACACAUUUUGAGGUGGACAAUUUUGAUCCCCGACAUUAUCAUCAUCUUGAUUGUUUUUAAUGAAAGAAAAAAAUGUCUACCUCAGAGUCUAUGCUGAUUCUGGCCUAAGUGUAAAGAAGAAUUACCUAAAACAGAAAAUACAGCAAAGGAAGAGCACUCUUUCCUUUCAGUGUUAUACUGGAGCAUUGUUUAACAGGCCCGCUCAAAGGUUAUUUGGCUUUGAGGUGAAUGCAUCUGUGUUUCACUUACUAUUUACUAGUAAUCAGGGUCCAUAAUCUGUGAAGUUGCAUGUUAACACGUAUAUUUGUGCCCAGUAAUGAAUCAAGAAAUCAAGUAAUUUUACUGUAACUGAAAACAAAAGCCCAAGCAAUCAGUAUUAUUUUUCUCCUGACACCAAAUGUGUGGUUUCUUUUCAGGCUUCCAGCUGGACAGGGAAUAAAACAAUUUUGAAAUGCACCAGAGCAUUCUGUUCUUCUUAACAAGCUUGCCCUCGGGGCAAACUAUUAACCAGAACCUAACCAGGUGUGGUAUUAUCAGAGGCUCCCUUACCUUGAAAAUUGAAAUACCCAGCUCGAGACAGCACAACUCCAGCCCAAAUACUUUUCAUAAAGCAACAAAUUGCAAAAGUCAAAAUAAAAAUCAAUAGCGUGUAUUUCAGUGUGUCUUUCUCAGAGGUUUAUAAAAGGUACUGAUCAAAUCAAAUGCUUUUUGAACCAUUUCUGACACCUGUUUGCUUGCUCAUGGAUGAUUUAAAUAAACAUUUGAUACAUGUUCAUUCAUCCCAUAUUUAUGUGACAGUCACAUAUUUAACUUUUGAGAAAUUAUACUUUUGCAGAACAUUCAUCUAAUCAUGUCUCAAAUAGGCUCAUUGAUUUAUACAUUAAUAUAACCCUAUUUAUAUAAAUUAGGAUAAACCUAUUGAAAUUAUAUGAACCUUUAUGAAAAUUUGGACUCAAAGAAAUAGAGAAAUAAAAUAAUGCGUGAACACUAUUUUCUCUUCUAAAUUUCAGUACUCAUUAAAAUACCAGGACACAAGUGGUCCAUGGCUGAGCAAAGGGAAAGGUGAGCUUGUCUCCCUUCUAAACAUGGAACACAGAGACAGCGCCAGCUGUGUCUGUUGAGCACUUGCCCUUGGAAACACUUCUCAUGGGAGGAAUGGUUGGAAUCGUGCUUCCCCUGAAUUUAAACCUAGAUUAAACAGAAGAACGAAGAAAACUACCCAAGAGGCUCUUUUCUCAUAUUUCCAAGACACGUAUACUAAAGACUGACUUUUAAACUAAACUGGUCACAUUUUAUCAUUAUGAACUAUCAUAUUUAUUUAAUUUUAAGGCAAAACUUUGGUUUAUUUUAUCAGGCAGGUAAAGUGUUGAGAGCCACCAUGUGAUAGUCACUGCAAGAGGCCACAGAGAAAGAAUGAUUCCUCAGGUACCAGCCCCUCCCUGAAUGAGGCACCAACUGUCCUGAUUUGCCUAGUCCUCAGGGUCUUCUGUUUUAAAAUCAGGAAAAUUCCCAUCAAAAAGGAACAAGGUUGAAAAUUGGGUGAGAGAGGCAGACAUGAACAAACGAUGGGAUAGGCAACCAUUUCACUGAUGUUCCCAUAUCAGCACCCUGGUAAAGGUCAUAAUAGGUUAGGAUAAUGAUUGCCAGGCAUCCUUCACUCACGGCCAUGGUCUAUGCCAAGGGAUGUGCAUUUAUAUUUGAACUUAAUUCUCACAAAAAGUAACAUCAACAUUAAAUGUGCCCAGAGUCUAGACCCCUGCCCCCCCAACCGUGGAUAACUCUGAUGCCCCCAGCUAGAAACACUGCUGUAGUCUCUUUCCAGUGCUGUUUUGAUGCCUUCCUAACUAGUCUCCUACAGGCAGUCCUCCUGACAACUCUCUACUCACCUAGAGCAUCUCAUGUGUACCUAAAAUCGUAGUA